ensembl:lncRNA
AGGAAACCGCCUCUGCAACAUUCCAGGAUGCGAGAGCCACGCCCUCGGUCUGACUGCUGAUUGGCGGUGGCGUGAGUCAGGGGAAAGGGCACCGGACGGGCAGUCUGGAGAUGCGGGACUCUGCGCCUUGAUCUACAGCAGAGCCAGAUCAGCCAAAGAGGUUGGGGCGCGUUUCCUGUCAAGGUCAAAUGGCUGGGUGGCCCGGUCUGGCCUCAACCCAGGUCUCCUGAGUUUCUGUUGUAGGAGCCUCCCCCCAAGUCGGUGGUGGUGAUGACGAGCAUUCCAGAGGGGAGGGGCAGGCAGGGAGACACGAUCUGGAAGGAGGGCGAGGCUGGAAUGAUAGCCCGCAGGGUGGGCCACGUCUCCCACCCCGCCGCAACUCCACUUCCUUUCCCCUAGUCCCCCGAGGGGCUGAAUGAGACUGAGAAGAGUGAUGGGAGUUGUUCCCACGACAUUUAUAAGCGUUUGUUUUUUUUUUAAACCAGACAAUCUAACUGUGCAAUAUGGAGAGUGAUCUGAAAUAUACCCUAAAGUAACCGUUCAAAGCAAAACUUUUAGAAAAUAGAAUGUGUUUGUGACCUUGGGGUCAGUUCAGUUGCUCAGUCGCGUCGGACUCUUUGCGACUUCAUGGACUGCAGCACGCCAGAGGAAGAGUUUUUAAGCAUAAGGCGAAAAGUGCUAAUCAUGGAAAAAGAUUAAUAAAUGCUGUCUACAUAAAAAUGAAGAAAUCUUGGUUAUAAAAAGGUAACCACUGCACCAAAAGCAUGAAAUGUCAAGCCACAGUGCCCUCCUGCAGAGGAUCUUCCCGACCCAGGGAUGGAAGCCACCGCGUCUCUUGUGUUUCCUACGUUGGCAGCAAGAUCUUUAUCACUGGAGUCACCUGGGAAGCCCAUGUAAGCAACAAAAGGCUCAAAGCCAAAAUAUAAAAGAGAAAUGGAGAGACUUGAAGGGAAGAUUCACAAAAGAAGACACAGUAGUGCCAUAUUAAGCAUGUGAAAAGGUGCUCAACUUUAUUUGGUGUCAGAGAAGACCAAACUAAAACCGCUUUGAGAUACCAAAUAUCUAAAACUAAGAAUACCAAUAUUAAGUGUUCUGGUUCUGGUGUGAAACCCCUGGAACCCUUGUACACAGCUGGUAGUGAAUAUUGCUAUUCCCAUGUUGGAAAACGGUGUGACAUUAUUAACUGAAGUUGAAGAGAUGGCUUCCCUGUAACCCAGCAGUCACACCCUCGGGUAUAUGUGCAAUAGAAAUGUGUCAGGUGUGCACAGAAGACACGAACAAGUAUGCUUGAAGUGGCACACUUUGUAACAAUACCAAACUGGAAACAACCCACAUGUCAAUCAAGAGACAAUGAUAGGUGAUAUAUUCACACAACAAAAUAUUACGUAGUAGUAAUGGAUGAAUGACAGCCAGACACAACAAGAACAUGGAUGAAAUCUCUCAAGUAAAAGAAGCCGGAAGAAAGCCAGACACAAAAGGAUACAUGCUUAUGAGUUUAUUCUCACUCUGACUGUUACUGAGACCAUACCAGAAGAAGAUGCUGGCAUGGGAAUCCCCUGGGAAAAAAGAACUUUCAUUGUCAAAGGAAAUGCAGCAAAGGGAGCUUCCUCCUCCCUGUAAGGAGAUGAUGCGUCUGGACUCCGAGGAAACUGUCAUUCAAACCAGAACUAAGAAGCAACUGUUCUGCCAUCUUCACAGUAAGCUCUCCCCAUGACAAAGAGGAAAGACCCCCAGGGUUUCAGUUUGGGAGUCUGAAGACUGACUAGUUACUUGAUUAGCCUGAAGCUUAGAGUCCUCACAAUAUGGGGAUAUUAAUAUUUUCUCUUUUCCUAGGGGGUUGAUGUGAGGGUAAAGUGAGUAAUGUAUAUGAUCAUACUCUAUUAACUGCAAAUCACUCUACAAAUAGGAGUUUAUUACUUUGUCUUGCCUCCCUAUUUUCUUGUCCUGAACUCUCAUUCAUUUGCUUAGCAACUGAUACUGAUUACUUAAAAAAAAUUUUGUCAGCACCAGAUCUUAGUUGCAGCACACAGGAUCUUCAAUCUUAAUUGUGGCAUGUGGGAUGUAGUUCCCUGAACAGGGACUGAACCCAGAUCUCCUGCACUGGGAGCAUGGAGUCUUAGCCACUGGACCACCCGGGAAAUCCCAGACAAGUGUUUUUAAAAAGAAUAUUUUAUAGAGAAUGAAUGGGUAGAAGUAAGAAUAGACUGAAGGAGACCAGACUAGACACUCCCGUGGGAAGCCAGACCAGUGAAAAUGGUGGCUUGGGUCAUGAUAUUGGCUGUGAAAAGGGAGAAGAAGUUGAUAGAUCUGAGAAAUAUUUAGGAAGCUGAGUCGAUAGAAUCUGGCAUUUGAACAGAUGUGUUGAGGGUAGGGGAAGAGCUGUUUAUAGACCUAGGGACAUUCUUGGAGGAGCAAGUGUGGAGGGGAGAACGAUGAGUUUGGUGUUCAGAAGUACAACUUCAGGUACUUGGACCAUCCAAGUGGCUGCAUGUAUUAGAGAAUUGGAUAUAUAAAAGUGGAGAAUAGAGAAGUUUGGACCGGUAGAAAUUUAGGAAUCAUUUAAACACAGAGUGAAGCCAUAAGCUAUAGUGAUCACUAGAGGGUAGCAUUGGAAGGAAAAGAAGACUUAGGACCAAGCUUUAGGAAAUUACAAUAUUGAAUGUUGGGGUUGAAAGAGGUCAGUUGGUUAAGGACUGCCAAAAAAGGGAGACACAGAAUGUGAACAACCUUUCAUGCAAAGGACAAAAGGAAGGAAAACUACUAUUUCAUGACUAUCUUCUAUGUCCUGGGAGUUUUCACAUACGUUAUCUGACUUUAUUCUCACGUAAACCCCAUGAGUCAGUAAGCGUUCCUAUCUUCACUUUCCCACUGAGAAAAUAGAUGUUCAGAGAAGUCGAAUAAUUUACUUAGGGCCACACAACUUAUAAGCAGUAGUCUCCUCCAGUCUCCCUCCCAUGUGGGAGGAUCUGGGUGAGUGCCUUGUCAGGUGGUGCAUUUGGUGGAAAGAACAGGGCUGGAAUCCCCUUUAUUCAGCACUCUAGUGCCAAGGUUGUAAGCCAAAACAUAGAAAGGGUAGUCCAAAAACCAAAGCCAAGUGCAACAAGAAAACAGUUCAAGAGCCAAAUGGUCCAUUCAGAAGUCAGGUUGCCAAAGCCAAAACCUCACCCAGUAAUUGGUUCAAAAGCCAAGUUAAUCACAAGCAGUAGAACUUGGUCAAAGAGAGGGCUGAGGAAGGUCAGGAAACUUCAGAAGUGGGGAAGCCACCAGCUAAGCUUCAGGCUUCCAGCUGAGCUAGCAUUUGGGUACUGGGGAUUUGAAGAUGGGGAGGAGGUGAGGAGACAGGUUUUGUAGAAUUGAAGAACUGAGCAAAUAGAAAAUAAUGUGACUGGAAAUGUUUUGUGGAAAGAUUCUUCUGGUGACUCUGUGAAGAAGGGCCUUAAGAUGGGAGAAUAAGGACAAGUCAGGCCCAAUGCAUAGAUUCAACUCCCCUCUGCAGAAUGAACAGGGGUAGGACACUGGCUUGUUCCCUGGACUUGAGAAAUUAUACUUGAUUUGUAUCCUAGAGGAAAAAAAAAUAUGACAACCCAAAAGUGGAAUGCCAAAUGUAGACCUGGUUUGUCCAGGAUACUUAAGGAAGCAGAGCUGUUGGGCAAGCCAAGCCAGGACACAUGUAUGUCUUAAGGGCUUUCUUAAAAAUGAGUCUUCUCAUUGGUACAGUACUUUAUAAUCAGCAGUAGCAUUUGAACUUCACAACCACUUUAAAACCAAUGGCUUUAAAUAGAUGAGAAAACUAAGGCUAGGGCAAGGUAAAUUGUGUGCCAAAAUUCACACAGUUGGGUGGAAAUCAGAACUGUAGCUCGAGUCCAGGUUUUGUUCUAUGCAAAUUCUGUGUCUUUCUCUGUAAAAGAAAAGAGAUUGGUCAGGGAAGGCUUCACAGAGGAGGCAAGGGCAGGGUACCAAGUACAGAAGAGUAACAGGCAAAGGCACAAAGGUGCAACAUGGAACAGCCAGAAGGCAACAAAACCUGGUUUCUAGUAUUGUAAGGGCCUUGAGGACCAGAAGUGCCAGUUCCUAGAAUGAGGCCUGGGGUUUAUCAGGCGCUUGCUGUUGUUUGUUGUUCAGUCACCCAGUUAUGUUCGACUCUUUGCAACCCCAUGAACUGCAGCAUGCCAGGCCUCCCUGUGCCUCACCACCUCCCAGAGUUUGCCCAAGUUCAUGUCCAUUGCAUCAGGGAUGCCAUACAGACAUCUCAUCCUCUGAUGCCCUCUUUCCCUUCUGCCCUCAAUCUUUUCCAGCAUCAGGGACUUUUCCAAUGAGUCAGCUGUUUGCAUCAGGUGACCAAACUACUGGAGCUUCAGCAUCAGUCCUUCCAAUGAGUAUUCAGGAUUGAUUUCCUUGGAGACUGACUGGUUUGAAUUCCUUUUUGUCCAAAGGACUCUUAGGAGUCGUCCCCAGCACCACAGUUAGAAGGCAUCAAUUCUUUGGUGCUCUGCCUUCUUUAUAGUCCAGCUCUCACAAACAAAUGUGACCACUGGGAAGACCAUAGCCUUGACUAUACAGACAUUUGUUGGCAGAGUGAUGUCUCUGCUUUUCUGUUCAAAGGAAUGAAUGUCUAGAAUAUAGAUUCUCUAUAGGAGAGUAGCUGGAAGUGAGGCUGGGAAGUGGCAGGAGUCAGAAGAUGGAGAGGCUUUAAUACAAUAUGGAAGGCUGGUGUUGGAGGAGGAGAGGGGACCAGAGUGCAUGUGCAGAAAGGAUGCUAAGAGAGAAUCAUCUGGAAGGUGGUUCCAGGAGAGAGAAAAGGAAGGCCAGAAGUAAACCAGGGCAGGGAGAGGAAAAGACAGUCAAGAAGAAUUUCUGCGUUAGAAUGCCUGGCAACACCCUGAAGGGGAGGGGGGUGACAUGUAGGGGUCUGGAGGCAGAAAGGCAGGAGCAGGAGAGAGAGAGAGAGAGAGAGAGAGAGAGAGAGAGAGAGAGGAUGCUGGCUGUGGAGGAAACAGGUGUGGGCAGUGGAUACCCCGCAUCCUCCAGCAGCUAGGCUGCAACCUCAACAGUCACUCCGGAGGCUGCAGGCCAGAGAAGGAGGGGCCUCUCGGACUGGAGAAGUCAUUAGCAACCUGCCAGAACCGGGUUAACAAAGGCAGGACUACAACUCCCAGCAUGCCCCGCCCCAGUGGGGUGACGGCGGGCGGUGGCUGCGCUGCACCCGCUUGGUGGGCGCAGGACCUGGGUCGGCACCGGAGCCUGUCAUUCCGG